UACGGAGGGUGCGAGCGUUGUCCGGAAUCAUUGGGCGUAAAGGGCGCGUAGGUGGCCACUUCAAGCGUGCGGUGAAAGUCGGGGGCUCAACCCCUGAUCGGCCGUGCGAACUGGGGGGCUGGAGCACUGUAGAGGCAGGCGGAAUUCCGGGUGUAGCGGUGGAAUGCGUAGGGAUCCGGAAGAACACCGGUGGCGAAGGCGGCCUGCUGGGCAGUUUUGCUGACACUGAGGCGCGACAGCGUGGGGAGCAAACAGG
rnacentral:rRNA from 1 species